AGCGGAGGAAAAGAAACCAACAGGGAUUGCCUCAGUAACGGCGAGUGAAGCGGCAACAGCUCAAAUUUGAAAUCUGGCUCUUUUAGGGUCCGAAUUGUAAUUUGUAGAAGAUGCUUUGAGUGUGGCUCCGGUCUAAGUUCCUUGGAACAGGACGUCAUAGAGGGUGAGAAUCCCGUAUGUGACUGGGUGCCUUCGCUCGUGUAAAGCUCUUUCGACGAGUCGAGUUGUUUGGGAAUGCAGCUCAAAAUGGGUGGUAAAUUUCAUCUAAAGCUAAAUAUUGGCCAGAGACCGAUAGCGCACAAGUAGAGUGAUCGAAAGAUGAAAAGCACUUUGGAAAGAGAGUUAAACAGUACGUGAAAUUGUUGAAAGGGAAGCGCUUGCAACCAGACUUGCGCACUGUUGAUCAUCCGAGGUUUUCCCCGGUGCACUCGGCAGUGUUCAGGCCAGCAUCGGUUUUGGUGGGCGGAUAAAGGCCUUGGGAAUGUAGCUUCUUUCGGGGAGUGUUAUAGCCCUCGGUGCAAUGCGCCCUACUAGGACCGAGGACCGCGCUUCGGCUAGGAUGCUGGCGUAAUGGUUGUAAGCGACCCGUCUUGAAA
rnacentral:rRNA from 1 species